rnacentral:tRNA from 1 species
GGAGCAUUGGCGCAAUGGUAGCGCGUCAGAUUCCAGAUCCUGAAGGUUAGCGGUUCAACUCCGCUAUGCUUCA